AAGUUGUCUGACAAUUGCUUCUGUAAGGAUCGGACUACUAAGAACGGUCGCAGCUUGACGCGACCAGUUGCUUAAAGGAUGUAGUAUUAUUUUGUGUUUAUGUAAAAUGGAUAUCAAUUGUAGGAAGAAGUGAGGUACACAUAACUAAAGAACGACGUAUAUAUAUGUUGUAUACAGAGUGUAAACACAAUGAGUCAAAAUUUAAAACUGAAAAAAAAAUACAUAUCUGCAAACAUUUCCUCUUCAAUGCCUCAUGUAUGUGGAAAUUGAACAAUUAUCAACCUCGGCCAGCAUAGGCAUUGUAGAUGCCUCACUCUUACAAAUAAAAAGGCAAGAGAAAGAUAAAUGCUUUUUGGAGAGAAAGAACGUGAGGAAGAAAUCAACCAACACCUUUUCAUCACAGAUACCUUCUAGCAAUUGAACGGACCUUUAAAUCAAAAGCCUGAGAACGAAUAGGUUGGUUAGGUUGAUAGAAAGGACUCAUUAGAGUUUUGAUGUAUAAUUCGUGGAGCUCUUGGAAAAACAGUUUAAUGUUGUCAGCACUUUGGUUUUGGUGAAGAAGCAUAAACCUCAUAUCUAAAAAUAAUGAACAUUAGUAGUUGUCCAAAAGUCACCCCAGAUAUUUAAAGGGAACAAAACACUUACUAGAUGGCGUAACGUAAGCAGAUAUAUACAUUUCGUGAAAUUGAUCGAUGGUUUUCAUAUAACUAUACAAAAACAGAGUAUUAGCAAUGACUGCAAGAAACAAAAGAAAUCACAAAACGUACAAGGCAUUGCUAGUCCAUUGUAGCUGAUCCACAAUGUCUAAACUCGAAUGAACGAUAAAUUGAUUAAGAUG